UUUGAUCGAAAAACCGUAACUUGUUUUGGGAAUGUUGUUUUAUGUAUGUCGGGUCGGAUCUGCACCGGUUCCGGGUCGGAGGGUACACGCGUGUAUAAAUAUAAUCAUAGUAGGAAAUACUAAUAUCAUUGUUUCAUUAUUUUUGGCCGCCGCUCUGUCUCUUUCCCAAAUUCAAGUUUAGUACUCUCUCUCUCCCAAAUUCAGGUCCUCUCUCUACCAGUUUCAAGCUCUCUCUCUUGCCCGCCUGCUCGCCCAAGUUUACAGAUUCAUUGUUAUUUGAAAUGCCAAACGGCGUUUCCCACUCCCUGCGUAUGGUAGCUUCAGUUGCUGCUUCGCUUCUUGGUGGAGUUUUCGCUGUUGGUUUUCUGUCCUCUUCAGUCUCCGAACGCUACACUUCAUUUAAGAAGGUUGCUUUUGCAGAAAAAAUAUGGGCGGCCGUGUCGGAGCUGUAAAGCAGUUGGCUACUACGCGUGUAAGACGUGUAAAGGGCGUGGCACUAUAAAUUGGUCUCCACUCUAUGAUCCAAUCUUCAUAAACCCUUGUGUCUGUCCAACCUGUGAUGGAUUCAAGGUCCAACGCUGUCUUAACUGCUUGGGAUACGGCUCUGCAUAAGUUUUCAAUAUCAUGGUGCUAGUAAGAUUGGAUCUUCUCAAUCUUGUUGAAAUCGGAAUUGUCUGUUUUUGCUAAUCAGAAGUCACACUUACACACACCUCGAGUUAGGAAUUCGUCAUGUUUACCUUCGAAAUGUUUAUAAAAUGGAGUAGAUGCUUAGGUAAAUGUUCACCUAGAACCAUGAAACAUGGAUGUUGUAAUCAUAUCAAUAACCUUAGAUAGCUAGUGAAUUUUUGCAUAUGUUGUUAAAGAUGAACCAUUGUGGUUUUGCUGUGAUUUUUGGUUAUGAAUAUGUUACAUUGAUAGAAA